rnacentral:rRNA from 1 species
CCUACGGGAGGCUGCAGUGAGGAAUAUUGGUCAAUGGACGAGAGUCUGAACCAGCCAAGUAGCGUGAAGGAUGACUGCCCUAUGGGUUGUAAACUUCUUUUAUAUGGGAAUAAAACGUUCCACGUGUGGGAUUUUGUAUGUACCAUAUGAAUAAGGAUCGGCUAACUCCGUGCCAGCAGCCGCGGUAAUACGGAGGAUCCGAGCGUUAUCCGGAUUUAUUGGGUUUAAAGGGAGCGUAGGUGGAUUGUUAAGUCAGUUGUGAAAGUUUACGGCUCAACCGUAAAAUUGCAGUUGAAACUGGCAGUCUUGAGUACAGUAGAGGUGGGCGGAAUUCGUGGUGUAGCGGUGAAAUGCUUAGAUAUCACGAAGAACUCCGAUUGCGAAGGCAGUUCACUGGACUGCAACUGACACUGAGGCUCGAAAGUGUGGGUAUCAAACAGGAUUAGAUACCCUAGUAGUC